AAUAUAAAGAUAAAAUUACUUUCUCAUCAAGGUGGCUACAUACAGGUUCACAAAUUUCUAUUUCUCCAGAAUUAUUAACUCUUCCCACUCUCUCCUUUUUCCAUAUUUUCUAUUUUAUUUCAACUAUCAAAUAUUCAAAACACUCAUUUUCCUAUUUUUUUCAACUCUACGUAACCCAGAUGUAUAAUCUUUCCCUUUUCUUCCAUUAUUAUUUAUCAAACCUACUUCAGAUUAUUCUUCUUUCUUCUCCCUACAACUUACAUAUACCUAUUCUCACUUUUACACUAAUUCAUGUACACACCUUCAACCAAUCCUCUACUUAACUCUUUUCUCUUUUUUCUCUCUUUUCUUUUGUUUUCAAGACCAACAUCCAACACCACACCUUACUUUAAAAAAAAAAAAAGAAUCCAUGCAACUAAACUACCUCUCCUUACUUUCUUUGUUUUUGGUCUCCACUCAUUCCUCCUUCUCUUCCACAAAAAGGAAUAGAAACUCUCAUUUUC
rnacentral:lncRNA from 1 species